CACGAGUAGGUACACACGGCUACAUGGCGUAUACAAAGAGAGCGACCUCGCGAGAGCAGCGGACCUCAUAAAGUACGUCGUAGUCCGGAUUGGAGUCUGCAACUCGACUCCAUGAAGUCGGAAUCGCUAGUAAUCGUAGAUCAGAAUGCUACGGUGAAUACGUUCCCGGGCCUUGUACACACCGCCCGUCACACCAUGGGAGUGGGUUGCAAAAGAAGUAGGUAGCUUAACCUUCGGGAGGGCGCUUACCACUUUGUGAUUCAUGACUGGGGUGAAGUCGUAACAAGGUAACCGUAGGGGAACCUGCGGUUGGAUCACCUCCUUACCAAG
rnacentral:rRNA from 1 species